GAACGGGUGAGUACACGUGGGUGAUCUGCCCUGCACUUUGGGAUAAGCCUGGGAAACUGGGUCUAAUACCGAAUAGGACCACGCGCUUCAUGGUGUGUGGUGGAAAGCUUUUGCGGUNUNNNAUGGGCCCGCGGCCUAUCAGCUUGUUGGUGGGGUAAUGGCCUACCAAGGCGACGACGGGUAGCCGGCCUGAGAGGGUGACCGGCCACACUGGGACUGAGAUACGGCCCAGACUCCUACGGGAGGCAGCAGUGGGGAAUAUUGCACAAUGGGCGCAAGCCUGAUGCAGCGACGCCGCGUGAGGGAUGACGGCCUUCGGGUUGUAAACCUCUUUCAAUAGGGACGAAGCGCAAGUGACGGUACCUAUAGAAGAAGCACCGGCCAACUACGUGCCAGCAGCCGCGGUAAUACGUAGGGUGCGAGCGUUGUCCGGAAUUACUGGGCGUAAAGAGCUCGUAGGUGGUUUGUCGCGUUGUUCGUGAAAACUCACAGCUUAACUGUGGGCGUGCGGGCGAUACGGGCAGACUAGAGUACUGCAGGGGAGACUGGAAUUCCUGGUGUAGCGGUGGAAUGCGCAGAUAUCAGGAGGAACACCGGUGGCGAAGGCGGGUCUCUGGGCAGUAACUGACGCUGAGGAGCGAAAGCGUGGGGAGCGAACAGGAUUAGAUACCCUGGUAGUCCACGCCGUANACGGUGGGUACUAGGUGUGGGUUCCUUCCUUGGGAUCCGUGCCGUAGCUAACGCAUUAAGUACCCCGCCUGGGGAGUACGGCCGCAAGGCUAANACUCAAAGGAAUNNNCGGGGGCCCGCA
rnacentral:rRNA from 1 species